AACGAACGCUGGCGGCAGGCUUAACACAUGCAAGUCGAGCGCCCCGCUAGGGGCGCGGCCGACGGGUGAGUAUCGCGUGGGAACGUACCCUUAUCUUCGGGAUAUCUCCGGGAAACUGGAAUUAUUACCGAAUGUGCCCUUUGGGGGAAAGAUUUAUCGGAUAAGGAUCGGCCCGCGUUGGAUUAGCUAGUUGGUGGGGUAAAGGCCUACCAAGGCGACGAUCCAUAGCUGGUCUGAGAGGAUGAUCAGCCACAUUGGGACUGAGACACGGCCCAAACUCCUACGGGAGGCAGCAGUGGGGAAUAUUGGACAAUGGGCGCAAGCCUGAUCCAGCCAUGCCGCGUGAGUGAUGAAGGCCUUAGGGUUGUAAAGCUCUUUCACCGGAGAAGAUAAUGACGGUACCCGGAGAAGAAGCCCCGGCUAACUUCGUG
rnacentral:rRNA from 1 species